rnacentral:rRNA from 1 species
GUGGGGAAUUUUGGACAAUGGGCGCAAGCCUGAUCCAGCAAUGCCGCGUGCAGGAUGAAGGCCUUCGGGUUGUAAACUGCUUUUGUACGGAACGAAAAAGCUCUGGUUAAUACCUGGGGCUCAUGACGGUACCGUAAGAAUAAGCACCGGCUAACUACGUGCCAGCAGCCGCGGUAAUACGUAGGGUGCGAGCGUUAAUCGGAAUUACUGGGCGUAAAGCGUGCGCAGGCGGGGAUGUAAGACAGUUGUGAAAUCCCCGGGCUCAACCUGGGAACUGCAUUUGUGACUGUAUAGCUAGAGUACGGCAGAGGGGGAUGGAAUUCCGCGUGUAGCAGUGAAAUGCGUAGAUAUGCGGAGGAACACCGAUGGCGAAGGCAAUCCCCUGGGCCUGUACUGACGCUCAUGCACGAAAGCGUGGGGAGCAAACAGGAUUAGAAACCCUAGUAGUCC